rnacentral:rRNA from 1 species
CCUACGGGAGGCAGCAGUGGGGGAUAUUGGACAAUGGGCGGAACCCUGAUCCAGCGACGCCGCGUGAGUGAAGAAGGCUUUCGGGAUGUAAAGCUCUGUCAGCAGGGAAGAAAGAAAUGACGGUUCCUGACCAAUAAGCCUCGGCUAACUACGUGCCAGCAGCCGCGGUAAUACGUAGGGGGCAAGCGUUAUCCGGAAUUACUGGGUGUAAAGGGUGCGUAGACGGUUGAGUAAGUCUGGAGUGAAAGUCCGGGGCUCAACCCCGGAACUGCACUGGAAACUGUUGAACUUGAGUGCAGGAGAGGUAAGCGGAAUUCCUGGUGUAGCGGUGAAAUGCGUAGAUAUUAGGAGGAACACCAGUGGCGAAGGCGGCUUACUGGACUGUAACUGACGUUGAGGCGCGAAAGCGUGGGGAGCAAACAGGAUUAGAUACCCGUGUAGUC